rnacentral:rRNA from 1 species
ACGAGUGGCGGACGGGUGAGUAAUGUCUGGGAAACUGCCCGAUGGAGGGGGAUAACAGUUGGAAACGGCUGCUAAUACCGCAUAAGCGCACAGUACCGCAUGGUACGGUGUGAAAAACUCCGGUGGUAUGAGAUGGACCCGCGUCUGAUUAGGUAGUUGGUGGGGUAACGGCCUACCAAGCCGACGAUCAGUAGCCGACCUGAGAGGGUGACCGGCCACAUUGGGACUGAGACACGGCCCAA